rnacentral:rRNA from 1 species
UCGCCUGUUUAUCAAAAACAUGGUUUCUUGAAAUAUUUAAGAGAUUUGACCUGCCCACUGAUAAUAUGAAGGGCCGCGGUAUUUUGACUGUGCAAAGGUAGCAUAAUCAUUAGUCUUUUAAUUGAAGGCUUGUAUGAAUGGUUGGACGAGGUAAUUUCUGUCUUAUAUUUAAUUAAUUUUGAAUUUAAAUUUUAAGUAAAAAUGCUUAAAUGUAAUUAAGGGACGAGAAGACCCUAUAGAGUUUAAUAUACAAAAUGUUAAUUGAGUUAUAAAGAAAUUUUUGAUUAUUAGUAAGUAUAUUUAGUUGGGGUGAUUGGAAGAUAAGUAUAACUCUUCUUUAAAAUGAAUUUUAAUGAAUAGUUAAAUGAUCCAUAAUUUAUGAUUAAAAGAUUAAAUUACCUUAGGGAUAACAGCAUAAUUCUUUUUAAGAGUUCAAAUCGAAAGAAGAGAUUGUGACCUCGAUGUUGGAUUAAGAUAAAUUUUGGGUGUAGAUGUUCAAUGAUUAGGUCUGUUCGACCUUUAAAAUCUUACAUGAUCUGAGUUCAAACCGGAGA